rnacentral:rRNA from 1 species
UACGUAGGGUGCAAGCGUUGUCCGGAAUCAUUGGGCGUAAAGCGCGCGUAGGCGGCCCGGUAAGUCCGUUGUGAAAGUCAAAGGCUCAACCUUUGAACGCCGAUGGAUACUGCCGGGCUAGAGUCCGGAAGAGGCGAGUGGAAUUCCUGGUGUAGCGGUGAAAUGCGUAGAUAUCAGGAGGAACACCGAUGGCGAAGGCAGGUCUCUGGGCCACUACUGACGCUGAGAAGCGAAAGCAUGGGGAGCGAACAGG